GCGGGCGUAGUUCAGUGGUAGAACACAAGCCUUCCAAGCUUGAUACGUGAGUUCGAUUCUCAUCGCCCGCU
rnacentral:tRNA from 2 species